rnacentral:rRNA from 1 species
AGGGAUCAUUAAAAAGCGAGUCUCGCGACUCUCAAACCCUUUGUGAACCUAUUUUCAGUUGAGCUGCUUCGGCAGGAGGUCGACGUUGGUGGUUGUGGCUGGUCUCCGGACCGCCGCGCCCGCCGGCGGAGGCCCCCCGGCCCGCCCAGCGUGAAGCCGGGCGGGUGCCUGCCGGACGGUUCGCCAACCAAACUCUGUGUUAUCAUUAGAACUUCUGAGUCAAAAAGCAAAAUUUAUUAAAACUUUCAACAACGGAUCUCUUGGUUCUGGCAUCGAUGAAGAACGCAGCGAAAUGCGAUAAGUAAUGUGAAUUGCAGAAUUCAGUGAAUCAUCGAAUCUUUGAACGCACAUUGCGCCCGCUAGUAUUCUGGCGGGCAUGCCUGUUCGAGCGUCAUUUCAACCCCUCGGGAACCCUUUCACUAGGAGACCCGGUGUUGGGGACCCGCCGAGCCGCCCUCACCGGCGGCGGGCGGACCCCUAAAGAUAGUGGCGGAGCCCCCGUGGUAACCGAGCGCAGUAACAUACAUCUCGCUCCGGCGGCCCGGGCCUGGCUUCUUGCCGUUAAACCCCCCAAAUUUUACAAAGGUGACCUCG